AUACGGAGGGUGCAAGCGUUACUCGGAAUCACUGGGCGUAAAGCGCGCGCAGGCGGCUAUUUAAGUUGGAUGUGAAAGCCUACGGCUCAACCGUAGAACUGCAUCCAAAACUAUUUAGCUAGAGUGUGGGAGAGGAAGAUGGAAUUAGUUGUGUAGGGGUAAAAUCCGUAGAGAUAACUAGGAAUACCAAAAGCGAAGGCAAUCUUCUGGAACACUACUGACGCUGAGGCGCGAAAGCGUGCGGAGCAAACAGGAUUAGAAACCCUUGUAGUCC
rnacentral:rRNA from 1 species